rnacentral:rRNA from 1 species
GACGAACGCUGGCGGCGUGCUUAACACAUGCAAGUCGAACGGAAAGGCCCUGCUUUUGUGGUGUUCUCGAGUGGCGAACGGGUGAGUAACACGUGAGUAACCUGCCCUUGACUUUGGGAUAACUUCAGGAAACUGGGGCUAAUACCGUAUAGGAGCUCCUGCUGCAUUGUGGGGGUUGGAAAGUUUCGGCGGUUGGGGAUGGACUCGCGGCUUAUCAGCUUGUUGGUUGGGUAGGGGCUUACCAAGGCUUUGACGGGUAGCCGGCAUGAGAGGGUGACCGGCCACAUUGGGACUGAGAUACGGCCCAGACGCGUACGGGAGGCAGCAGUGGGGAAUAUUGCCCAAUGGGCGGAAGCCUGAUGCAGAAACGUCGCGUGCGGGAUGACGGCCUUCGGGUUGUAAACCGCUUUCGCCUGUGACGAAGCGUGAGUGACGGUAAUGGGUAAAGAAGCACCGGCUAACUACGUG